GCACCUUCGGGUGAGCGGCGGACGGGUUAGUAACGCGUGGGAAUAUACCCAAAGGUACGGAAUAGCCUCGGGAAACUGAGAGUAAUACCGUAUGUGCCCUUCGGGGGAAAGAUUUAUCGCCUUUGGAUUAGCCCGCGUAAGAUUAGAUAGUUGGUGGGGUAAUGGCCUACCAAGUCUACGAUCUUUAGCUGGUUUGAGAGGAUGAUCAGCAACACUGGGACUGAGACACGGCCCAGACUCCUACGGGAGGCAGCAGUGGGGAAUCUUAGACAAUGGGCGCAAGCCUGAUCUAGCCAUGCCGCGUGAGUGACGAAGGCCUUAGGGUCGUAAAGCUCUUUCGCCAGAGAUGAUAAUGACAGUAUCUGGUAAAGAAACCCCGGCUAACUCCGUGCCAGCAGCCGCGGUAAUACGGAGGGGGUUAGCGUUGUUCGGAAUUACUGGGCGUAAAGCGUACGUAGGCGGAUUAGUCAGUCAGAGGUGAAAUCCCAGGGCUCAACCCUGGAACUGCCUUUGAUACUGCUAGUCUUGAGUUCGAGAGAGGUGAGUGGAAUUCCAAGUGUAGAGGUGAAAUUCGUAGAUAUUUGGAGGAACACCAGUGGCGAAGGCGGCUCACUGGCUCGAUACUGACGCUGAGGUACGAAAGUGUGGGGAGCAAACAGGAUUAGAUACCCUGGUAGUCCACACCGUAAACGAUGAAUGCCAGACGUCGGGGGGCUUGCC
rnacentral:rRNA from 1 species